rnacentral:rRNA from 1 species
CAGCAGCCACGGUAAUACGAAGGGUGCAAGCGUUAAUCGGAAUUACUGGGCGUAAAGCGCGCGUAGGUGGUUUGGUAAGAUGGAUGUGAAAUCCCCGGGCUCAACCUGGGAACUGCAUCCAUAACUGCCUGACUAGAGUACGGUAGAGGGUGGUGGAAUUUCCUGUGUAGCGGUGAAAUGAGUAGAUAUAGGAAGGAACACCAGUGGCGAAGGCGACCACCUGGACUGAUACUGACACUGAGGUGCGAAAGCGUGGGGAGCAAACAGGAUUAGAUACCCCUGUAGUCCCUGUCUCUUAUAU